UACGUAGGGAGCAAGCGUUGUCCGGAAUCAUUGGGCGUAAAGCGCGCGUAGGUGGCCUCAUAAGUCCGCUGUGAAAGUCAAAGGCUCAACCUUUGAAAGCCGGUGGAUACUGUGAGGCUAGAGUACGGAAGAGGCGAGUGGAAUUCCUGGUGUAGCGGUGGAAUGCGCAGAUAUCAGGAGGAACACCAAUAGCGAAGGCAGCUCGCUGGGACGUUUACUGACACUAAGGCGCGAAAGCGUGGGGAGCGAACAGG
rnacentral:rRNA from 1 species